UACGUAGGUGACAAGCGUUGUCCGGAUUUACUGGGUGUAAAGGGCGCGUAGGCGGGAUAGCAAGUCAGUCGUGAAAUGCCGAGGCUUAACCUCGGAGCUGCGAUUGAAACUGUUAUUCUUGAGUAUCGGAGAGGAAAGCGGAAUUCCUAGUGUAGCGGUGAAAUGCGUAGAUAUUAGGAGGAACACCAGUGGCGAAGGCGGCUUUCUGGACGACAAUUGACGCUGAGGCGCGAAAGUGUGGGGAGCAAACAGG
rnacentral:rRNA from 1 species